CAUGUUAAAGUCAGAGAAAACAAAGACGACACAGCAGUGCGAUCUGAGGGUUUGAGCUGUGAAGAUCUGACUUUACGACGGCUAACAGAAGAAAAGUGAGGACAAAAGUGGCAGCAGCAGACCCCACGUCUGUCAUUUAAACUGGUCACCUGAUAUGUGAUAUAAGGAGCUGGACCAGGACAAACAUCUCAGUGUCAGCACCACCAUGAGACUCGCCGCCUUGCUGCUCCUGCUGUGCCUGUGCUCUGCUGCGAUGGCUUUGCCAUCUCAAUCUCCAACCAAGCCAGCAAUCAAGUUAUCUACUUUGGGAAAGGAGCAUCCAAAACCUAAGCGGGGAUACAUGAGAGCAGGAGGAUUUAGAGGAGGAUUUAGAGGAGGAUUUGGAAGAAGAAAAAGACAAGCAGGAGGAGCAGGAUUUGGAGUACCAUAAGGAGGAUGAUCUUUCAGGACUUGGCCAAAAGGACCAAACCAGACCAAUCAUUGCCAAGAAAGAAGAAGUCAAAGAAUGUCUAUUAGUUUAAAAUAAAACCAAACACAUUGCAUCAAA